rnacentral:rRNA from 1 species
GGGUUGUGAGGUUAAGCGACUAAGCGUACACGGUGGAUGCCCAGGCAGUCAGAGGCGAUGAAGGACGUGCUAAUCUGCGUAAAGCGACGGUAAGGUGAUAUGAACCGCUACAGCCGUCGAUGUCCGAAUGGGGAAACCCGGUGCACUCUGUGCAUCAUUGCAGCAUGAAUACAUAGUGCUGCAAGGCGAACCGGGGGAACUGAAACAUCUAAGUACCCCGAGGAAAAGAAAUCAACCGAGAUUCCCCCAGUAGCGGCGAGCGAACGGGGAGCAGCCCAGAGCCUGAAUCAGCUUGUGUGUUAGUGGAAGCGUCUGGAAAGUCGCAGGGUACAGGGUGAUACUCCCGUACACAAAAACACACAUGCUGUGAGCUCGAUGAGUAAGGCGGGACACGUGGUAUCCUGUCUGAAUAUGGGGGGACCAUCCUCCAAGGCUAAAUACUCCUGACUGACCGAUAGUGAACCAGUACCGUGAGGGAAAGGCGAAAAGAACCCCGGCGAGGGGAGUGAAACAGAACCUGAAACCGUGUACGUACAAGCAGUGGGAGCCUUCUUUAUGGGGGUGACUGCGUACCUUUUGUAUAAUGGGUCAGCGACUUAUAUUCUGUAGCAAGGUUAACCGUAUAGGGGAGCCGCAGGGAAACCGAGUCUUAACUGGGCGUUAAGUUGCAGGGUAUAGACCCGAAACCCGGUGAUCUAGCCAUGGGCAGGUUGAAGGUUGGGUAACACUAACUGGAGGACCGAACCGACUAAUGUUGAAAAAUUAGCGGAUGACCUGUGGCUGGGGGUGAAAGGCCAAUCAAACCGGGAGAUAGCUGGUUCUCCCCGAAAGCUAUUUAGGUAGCGCCUCGUGAACUCAUCUUCGGGGGUAGAGCACUGUUUCGGCUAGGGGGCCAUCCCGGCUUACCAACCCGAUGCAAACUGCGAAUACCGAAGAAUGUUAUCACGGGAGACACACGGCGGGUGCUAACGUCCGUCGUGAAGAGGGAAACAACCCAGACCGCCAGCUAAGGUCCCAAAGUCAUGGUUAAGUGGGAAACGAUGUGGGAAGGCACAGACAGCCAGGAUGUUGGCUUAGAAGCAGCCAUCAUUUAAAGAAAGCGUAAUAGCUCACUGGUCGAGUCGGCCUGCGCGGAAGAUGUAACGGGGCUAAACCAUGCACCGAAGCUGCGGCAGCGACACUAUGUGUUGUUGGGUAGGGGAGCGUUCUGUAAGCCGUCGAAGGUGUGCUGUGAGGCAUGCUGGAGGUAUCAGAAGUGCGAAUGCUGACAUAAGUAACGAUAAAGCGGGUGAAAAGCCCGCUCGCCGGAAGACCAAGGGUUCCUGUUCAACGUUAAUCGGAGCAGGGUGAGUCGACCCCUAAGGCGAGGCCGAAAGGCGUAGUCGAUGGGAAACAGGUUAAUAUUCCUGUACUCGGUGUUACUGCGAAGGGGGGACGGAGAAGGCUAUAUCAGCCGGGCGACGGUUGUCCCGGUUUAAGCGUGUAGGCGGAGGGUCCAGGUAAAUCCGGUCCCUUAUUAACGCUGAGGCGUGACGACGAGGCACUACGGUGCUGAAGUGAUAAAUGCCCAGCUUCCAGGAAAAGCCUCUAAGCAUCAGGUAACACAGAAUCGUACCCCAAACCGACACAGGUGGUCAGGUAGAGAAUACCAAGGCGCUUGAGAGAACUCGGGUGAAGGAACUAGGCAAAAUGGUGCCGUAACUUCGGGAGAAGGCACGCUGGCGCGUAGGUGGAGGGACCUGCUCCCCGAGCCGAAGCCAGUCGAAGAUACCAGCUGGCUGCAACUGUUUAUUAAAAACACAGCACUGUGCAAACACGAAAGUGGACGUAUACGGUGUGACGCCUGCCCGGUGCCGGAAGGUUAAUUGAUGGGGUUAUCCGCAAGGAGAAGCUCUUGAUCGAAGCCCCGGUAAACGGCGGCCGUAACUAUAACGGUCCUAAGGUAGCGAAAUUCCUUGUCGGGUAAGUUCCGACCUGCACGAAUGGCAUAAUGAUGGCCAGGCUGUCUCCACCCGAGACUCAGUGAAAUUGAACUCGCUGUGAAGAUGCAGUGUACCCGCGGCAAGACGGAAAGACCCCGUGAACCUUUACUACAGCUUGACACUGAACAUUGAGCCUUGAUGUGUAGGAUAGGUGGGAGGCUUUGAAGCGCGGACGCCAGUCUGCGUGGAGCCAACCUUGAAAUACCACCCUUUAAUGUUUGAUGUUCUAACGUAGGCCCGUAAUCCGGGCUGCGGACAGUGUCUGGUGGGUAGUUUGACUGGGGCGGUCUCCUCCUAAAGAGUAACGGAGGAGCACGAAGGUCAGCUAAUCACGGUCGGACAUCGUGAGGUUAGUGCAAUGGCAUAAGCUGGCUUGACUGCGAGAGUGACGGCUCGAGCAGGUGCGAAAGCAGGUCAUAGUGAUCCGGUGGUUCUGAAUGGAAGGGCCAUCGCUCAACGGAUAAAAGGUACUCCGGGGAUAACAGGCUGAUACCGCCCAAGAGUUCAUAUCGACGGCGGUGUUUGGCACCUCGAUGUCGGCUCAUCACAUCCUGGGGCUGAAGUAGGUCCCAAGGGUACGGCUGUUCGCCGUUUAAAGUGGUACGCGAGCUGGGUUUAGAACGUCGUGAGACAGUUCGGUCCCUAUCUGCCGUGGGCGCUGGAGAAUUGAGGGGGGUUGCUCCUAGUACGAGAGGACCGGAGUGAACGCACCACUGGUGUUCGGGUUGUCAUGCCAAUGGCAUUGCCCGGUAGCUAAGUGCGGAAAAGAUAAGUGCUGAAAGCAUCUAAGCACGAAACUUGCCCCGAGAUGAGUUCUCCCUGACUCCUUGAGAGUCCUGAAGGGACGUUGAAGACUACGACGUUGAUAGGCCGGGUGUGUAAGCGCAGCGAUGCGUUGAGCUAACCGGUACUAAUGACCCGUGAGGCUUAACCUUACAACGCCAGAGGCGUUU